UCUAUUUUGUGCUGAAAUCAAAUUAGGGAGCCAAGAUCGAGGCCAUUGCAAAUCGGUAUGAGAUAGUCAAAUACUUCAACAGUUUGCUCCAUGAAAAGCAUGUCUACAAGAUGCACAACGUAUGGUUUGGUCUUAAUCCGGGUGCAUUUAAUUUUCGACAUCUAAAUGGUACCAUGGAGUUGUAUUUCACCCACCAAACUGUCGUAGAGCCAUACGCUGUCCCAGUUCAAAUGCCGCCAUUUCCAAAACAUAUAUUCUUGAACCUUGAUGAUAUUGCCGAGCUGCCAAACAGGACUUUAGUUGACAUUAUGGCUAUUGUAGUCCACUUGGAUACAAUCCAUCGCACAAUGUGGGGUACAUUCAGGAAGAUUGUUAUAAUGGAUGCUAGGUGGUCUUUACAUACCAUUAAAGUUUGGGGCGAUUUACUAAACAAAAAUGCACUACGCUGGGCGUUGGCUAAUGAGAAUUAUAGCAUCAUAAU